UCCCGGCUAGCUCAGUCGGUAGAGCGUCAGACUCUUAUUCAAGGGUUUCCGAGGAUGUCUUGGAGUUGAUCUGAAUGUCGUGGGUUCGAGCCCCACGUUGGGAG
rnacentral:tRNA from 2 species